AGAUAACCAUUUUAACAAACAAUCACCAAAUCUCUUUAAAUGCUACAGCUGAUGUCUUGGCAAACUUUUUGGAGACAGAUGUUGCCUAAACAUACAAAGAAUUUCCUUGGGAGCUUGAAGAUAAAAUUCUGGAGCUUGAACAAAUCGAUAUAGACUUUAACAGUAAAAACAACCAAAUUACCCGAAUUUCUCAUCAUCAAAGCUUCAAUGAACAAGUGUUUAUACAAAGUUAUUUCACAAUUGUCAGUCAAGUCUGGUGAUGUUUGCUCUGCUGCAUGUACUUGUCCUGCUGUUAUUGGUCUUCGUGGUUUUGGCAACUGUAACCAUGUUGGAGGUGUUUUCUUUGCUCUUGAAGACUUCAACAGACGUGGUUUACGAGAGUAUUCAUCUGCUGUAUCAUGCACUUCAAAGCUGUCUUCUUAGAAUGUUCCAAAUGCAUCUGCUCUUAAAUCAAACAAUUCCUCUCCAAAAGAUGAAGUGAUAAUACAAAAAGUCAAGUUUUGAAAGGACAAUGAUAAAAGUAAUUUGUCUCGCUACAAAUUCUUUGAUCCACAUGCUCGAUCUGAUAAAGCUAUCAAUGAUAAAAGACUUGAAGCCCUUAAAACGAAAUUGGCAGAAGCUUUAACAAACAGUGGUUUUUUGGCUUUCAUGAAAUUUCUGAACCUGCAGAUUCUGACACAUUUGCUUCAACUGAGGCUUCUGCAUCCAAUCUUGAACAUCUUUUCUUCUAUGAAUCCAUCUCCUUAAAUGAAUAUUACGAUAUUUCAACUUCCUCCUUCAGAGAAAUGAUGGACAAUUAUUGCUAUAAUACAAUAUUGUCCCAAGAAGAAAUUUCCAAUAUUGAGAAAUCAACACAUGGUCAAGCUUCAAAUGAUGAUUGGAAAAAGCAUCGUAUGUAUCAAAUCACUGCACCCAACUUUUACUUUGCUGCUGUAAACUCUGCUGAACCUUCUUCCAAGCUUAAAUCUAUAUUUUAUAAAUCUUUCACAAUGGCUGCAACUUGCCAUGACCAGAAACACGAAGCACAUGUUGAAGAGCUCUAUAUAAUGCUACUGAAAAAUAAAGGUAUUGAUGCUCCUCAAGUUUCUGAAGUUGGUCGGCAAUUGUCUUCCUCAUCUUGGUGCUUCAUUAGAUGGUGAAGUCACUUACAAAAAUGAAACCUGGAGAUUUGAAAUCAAAUGUCCAUUCUCUGAGUUCAACAUGUCUCUUCAAGAAGCUCUGAAGAAUAAGAAGUUCUUUCUUGUUGAAGUUGGAGCAAGUCCAUCCAUUGACGAGGAGCAGGAAGAAGCAAGAUCAACAAAAGAGCCUGUUAAAUUAAAACCAAACAGGAAGAGGCAAAACUGAAGAAGAAUAUAAAUUGAUACAAGGUUUGGCACAAUCCAUUGCUGAAAGAAAAGCAAAGGCACAGAAAACCAGCAAACAGGCAGCUUGAUGCAUUUGGACAAUAUGUGACACAAACAUUAUCUGAACUUGACACUAGAGUUCAACAUUUGGCUCAACAUAAAAUCAAUCAAAUCCUUUCCAGGCACAAACUGGUUUAUUAGCUCAAGAAAACCCAUAUGGAUCUAUUGUGCCUCUACCACCACAACCACAUUUUUUCCAACGAGAUAAUUCCAGUUAUAGUAUGACAGGCAUAACCAAUCAGGCUGUAAGCACUCAUUCCCAGUUUAACAGUAAGGAGCCAUGUCCAUCAUCCCACUCUUCAUGCCAGACCUUUAGUGCCCCCGAAGACAUCUGGAGGUUUCAAAAUAUAAAAAGUGGUGACAUGCAAGCCGAUAAACAACUUUGAUUAAAAAUACUGUCCAUUGAAUGAUCAUUGCAAUAAAAAUAGAAAUAAUACGAUUUGCUUGUUUUAUUUAGAAUUUGAUUCCCUUCCAAUAAUCGUUAACGUUGUGUUAUAUAGAUUACACACCUUUAGAUAUUCAUCUUUCAGUUUCAUGUACAAUGCUUUACAAGUUUCCUCCACAAUUGAUGAAAUUGUCCGUUCUCCCACCCGAUACUGAAAGAACAGACUCCUGAAUGUCUCACCUAAAUUGAAUUGACAGGCCAUCAGUACUUUUUUAUAUUAAUUUGUUAAUUUUGUGCAAUAGGACCAAGUUUGCACCGGAAGGCAACUUUAGACAAAAUAUUGGGUACACUGACAGGAGUGGGUGCUAAAAAAUGGCCAAAUUUUUUUCAGGUUUCCAUGGCUAACUACCUUUGAAAACCAAAUGUGAACUUUUUGUGAUCGCUUCUUUUUGAAUUAAGUGCUCCAAUGUCAUGACUUUUAAAGUGGAUUAAGCCAUUCAGCAGUGGGAUAGAUUUUAAGAGUUAUUGGAAGGAGAACUUCCCUCAUAAUGAACACUGUACUUCCAAAUAAACUUGAUAUUUGCUUAAUCGUGUACCCAACCUCCUGUCUAGGGGGGUGGAAUCACUUUAUGAUGGUAAUGAAAAGGGUACCUGGGGUCAUCAACAAGGGUAAACAUAUGUAGUCAUAUGCUUCAGACAGAAGGGGAAAUUCCCCUGGCUACUGAGCUUCAGUUAGCUGAAUUUAAUGCUUAGGACAUAUACACAGCUUUACAAGAUGAUUGUUUACAAAAGUUGCUUAAAUUUAAAAAAUAAAAGCCAGGCUCUAAUUUCUUCUUGGAUGCAAAAUGUUGCUAGGCUCAAAUGCUUUAGUAAAGGUUGGCAAAUUGCAACUCAAAUAUCAACAACCUAACUGAAGAGAUACCUGUAGCAAGGAACUGCAGAGUUAUUGAUAAGCGCUCAGAUGGCUUUAUUGUACUUCUUUUAUGGGUUUCUUUCUUUGAAAUUAAUGGACUAACUUUAACCAAUAUUACAUUAAAUUCUUCUCUAUUUACACGAUGAUAUUUACGAAACAGUUCGGAAUCUUCACUGUUCAAUUCUCCAAUUAUAUUUGCAUGGGCUUCUCUUAUUUCUCUCCUUAUAACCCAGGGCCUUGACCAUUCCUGCCGAUUUGCCACUCGCAAACGCCUACGAUAUCGUCUCAUAAGCAACAUAAAAACAGAACCUCUUCCCUUUCACAAUUUUCAUCAGUAUAUCCUGCCAUUUUGUUUUAGUUUUUCCCAGGAAACGAAUGCGUUUUGUUGACUUAUUGCAAGCUUGCUACUUCUGGUUCAGCGCACACAGGAGAAAGUCACUCGUGGCGAAAAUUAUUCAACAUGUUGAAUUUUCAUGAGAUGAGUCACAAGUGACGAAAAAGCUCAUUAAAGUCCACCGCACACUAGUCUUUCCUGCUUAGCACGCUGAAUGACUUUUUGCUCAGCAGAAAGCUCUUAGUGUGCGCCAGGCUUGAGAUUAUUCAAAGAAAGGUGAGAAACUACUUCACAGAUUUCUCAUUCACAUAAAGCACAUUAAUUUUUAUUGUCAAUUGAAAUGACAAUAUUUGUAAUCCUUAUAGUAUUCACUUGUAUUUCUUCCUAGAUAAUUCAGAAGUAACAAAGCCAGAUUACAAUAUACAAUGAUGUUGUUCAAUUUGUUAGAGGUUUUUUUAUGCCAGUGCUGAAGUGAUCAGUAGUAGUAGUAAUAGUAAAUCAAUUCCUGGUAAAAAAAAUUGUAUAUCGAUUAGGGUACAUGGUGUGAAGGAAACGGUUCAAAAGAGGUUGUGCACUUUAGAAGAAGCCUAUUUGAAAUUCAAAGAAGAAAAUCAAGUAUCGAUUGGAUUUUCAAAUUUCUGUGAAUUGCGACCAAAGAAUGUUGUUUCAACAGGGGAUAGUGGAGCACAUAGUGUUUGUGUCUGUAUCAUUCACCAAAACCAUAGCUGAUGCUGAUCAAUGAAAAAUGACUCAGACAUUUUUCAAUUGCCUGAAUUUAGAAGUUUGGUUGGUGACUGAUUCAAUAGAAGGUCAGCUACCAGCAAUUGCUUUCUUGGGAACUGCAAAAACUGUUGAAAAACAGAACUGGCAGAAAUUUUGAGCGAUUAGAUGCUGAGGAAAUAACUUUCAACUCAUGGAUAGGUGUUGAUCGAACAAGCCUUGAAACUUUGAAACUUCAACAAAAUCUACUUGUGAUUUCACAAAUUAUCUUCUUGAAAGUCUUUUAAAACUGAAGCUUCAUGAUUUUAUCACUAGACUUCAAAGAAGCAAAAAAGAAAUUCAAGCCACAUGAAGCUAUAAUUCUUGGAGACUUUGCAGAGAAGUAUUCUUUUAUUAUGCAGGAUGCUGUACAAGGCUUCCAUUGGAAAAAUAGACAAGCCUCCAUUCAUCCUUUUGUUAUCUACUAUCGACAGAACCCUGAUAGUCAGAUGGAAAUUUUUGUAGUUAUUUCUGACUGUCUCGGUCAUGACACAGCUGCAGUGCAUGCAUUUCAGCAAAAAUGAAUAAAACACUUAAAUGAAAAAAUGGAACUGGACAAAGAUGUAAAACAGAAAAAAUAGAAAAGUUGUAAACACAGAAAACAUUUUAGUACUCUGAUUUUCUAUGAAAAAGAUUUUGGUAUGCCUGUUGAAUGGCUCUUUUUUGCCAACAUCUCAUGGCAAAAGUCCAUGUGAUGGAAUAGGUGCUACUGUCAAACGACUUGCAGCAAAUGAAAGUUUACGCCGACCUUAUUCAAGCCAGAUCCAGACUCCUCAACAACUUUAUGAAUGGGUACGUGAUAGCAUUACAAACACAGUUUUUGUAUAUGUUACUGAAGAGGAAAUAAAAGAAAAUGAAAGAAAUUGGAAAACUAUAGCUACAUUUUUUUAUUCCCGUCAAUGGGAGUACUACAGAAGUAUUGACAAAAUUGUAUUUAUUCAAGGAACAUGGAAAAAAGCAACCUUGUCAGAUUUGGUUGAAAGAUAAGUUAUGUCUUGGCAGUUAUCCACAGCUUGUGUGGCUUGUGUUUCUGGUGAAAAGUGGAGGUUGACGUAUUUGUUAGAUAAAGUGUAUCAUACCAAUGAAGUAAAGGUCAAAUUUCUCCACCCGGCAAGUCGUGUUCUGCCAUUUAUUUACCAGAGACUUUACGUGAUGGUGAAGCAUGCAAAGACCAUGAUGAAGAAAUCAAUGCUGCCCAGAAAGAAUGUGGGCCACAUAGGAAAAGGGAAGACAAGACAAGUUUAUCAAUAAGGGAAAAAGCACCCUUGCAAUAUUACAAGGAAGCAGUUAAGCUGGAGUCCAGAAAAUUGUGAAGAUUUUCUCAAGCAAUUCAAGGUGUCUUUGAAGUUGCUGCUGCGCAAGUUUGUACGACUUCUUCCAACAGAGCAUGCUAAGCCAAUGGAAUCAGAUGUCAGUCCUAAGCAAAUAGCACAAUGGUAACUAUAGUUAGAAACUUCAAAUAUGCAUACCAAGGAGGAAGAAAUCGUCUUGUAAGACCUAAUUCGUAGUACAUCUUUCAGAUAUAUUUGUAUAUCCUUCUUCCAACAAAAAGCAACUUGUUGACAGACUGUGUUAGUUCAUUUUCCAACUAUUUCACUGACUUUAAAGAAUGGCCUUCAGGAUAGUUUUUUGAUACUUUGUUUCUCUUGACUGGAGAAAUUGUUAAGGAGCUAGUCCUCAAUGUUAGGAAAUUCUAACUGAUGCCAGAGUUAACACCACAUUAGCCAUAUAUCAGAUCCAGAAGUUCUACUCUUCUUUAUCCAGACUGAUUUACACAGGUUCUUGCCUUCUGCAGCUUUUGGAUUUACAAAUUGAUGUCAGCCUGUUUAGCUACCUAAUCACAACCAAUGACAUUGCUAAAAAAUACGCACGCAUGGAGGAUGAAAUUGAGAGGCUCCUGAACUGUGUAAAAGAGAAGACACUCUAUGCACAGUACAUUAAUUACUGGACGUUCAAACAAAAUCAUGCUUUACAAGUUUAUCUUGACAGCCCAUUAUCAAAAUUAGAUAUUCAUUACCAGCUUAAUUUUUCACUUAAUAUGAUUGAUCUUUACUAAAAAUACAUUUCCUUAAAAUUCCCUAAUACAUUAGCCUAAAUAUAGAUUAUAAACACCAAAAACAUCUUUAUCAAUUAUAGAAUAUCCAAUCUCAUUAGACUGUCUAAAAAUAAUCUGAAAAUAUCUCCAUCUAGAGCGAAAAGUACCUUACAUUCUUCCUUGAUGUUUCAAUGUUCAAUACGAUUUAUAACAUCAUCAAAAACCCAAUUAUAAUUACUCAUACCGCCUAUCUCUAUACAAACUGCCAUCUUUCCAACCCUAACAAUCAUUCGCAUUGUUGCAAGUCUCACAAAGAAGUUGCCAAUAACAAAGGACAGUUCAAGCUCAAUUUGCCCAGGGUAAGUGUGCAAGAUCAUAUUGUACUAACAUUUUAUGUCAAACUUUGACCUUUCUGCAUCAAUAACUUUGCUUCUGCGAAGUAACUGAUGCUUAUUCUCGUCUUGCACUGUUCUCAGCUUUCUUUCUAAUCCAUGGAUUGAGAACUUAUAUCCCUUUUCUUACAAUUUAGAUAUUUCUGUGCCGUUUCUAAAAUUUAGUACAAAUUGAUUUUCAUAAUUUUAAUACAAACAGCACCCACAAUUUUAUUCAGCUUUCAGAUCCUAAGUUAUGAAAACAUAGUUACUAGCAAUGGUGUAGUGCUAUCAAAGUAACAAGGCGAGCUCAUGCACAAAAUGUUCUCAAAAACAAUAACGAAAGUACAAUUUUGGCAAAUUUCAGGCGUUAACAAGUUGUAUCAGGAUCCCUGCACUACACCUUUGAUUAGAAGACCUUUCAGAAAUCACUUUUAACAAAUACUCGUCUUCUUUCAUUAAUUAUCAAAAUUUUAUAUUUUUAGUCAACAUAAGUUCACCACCGCAAAAGAAAAAGUUUCUUCCCAGCAGUACUACAAGCCCGCUCCAGUUUCCUCCCAGCCAAAGUUAUUCAGGAUAUAUAACUAAUGUCUCCGAAGAAAAGGACACAACUCCAGGAGAUCCCUAUUUUACAAUUCAAUUAAAAGUUUCCGCAACAGAACAGAUAGCAUGGAGAGUAAAGAAGAAAUGGAACAAAGAUGUAAGCCAGGAUAUCUUCAUCCAAAAACAAAACGAAGGUGAACCUGUCACUUUAUGAAAUAUAACUACUGGCAGACAGGGCAUCUCCUUCUUCAAUUCCUUUCAGCGAAGUGACCUCCUUAAAUGUUCUUCCAAACAAAACUUUAAUCGUUCCAAACAGUUACCACUAACUGUCCAAAAAAUGAAAAAACAAACUUCCGGCCUCCAUUCUGUCCAGGGAGAGAUACAGUAGAUUGAGAAAAAAAGGUUAAUUCCCCUGAAUGAACCAUCUCCACCAAAAUAUGUGAGGGAUGCGGUUCUUUUAGACAACUCUGGCCAUGUUCAAAAUUCGUUUUGGAAUGAACAAAUAGAGCAAAUAGAGGAGCUUCAUACUUUAAACAUCAGCCACGUUGCUGUUAAACAGUACCAUGGCAUUAAAUUAUCAACAAGAAGCACAACAAUCAUAACAAAAAUUGACAGCGAAGAAACCUUCAAUUGGGAAUUUGUUGAUAUGGAAACAUACUUGUCAGAUGCCGUAGUUCAAAAGAAGGUCUUUUGCCCAGAGAUAAUAUCUACUAAAAUUUCCCUUAUCAAUACAUGCGUAAACAAAAACUGCACAAGAAAAUUAGCAACUACAAGGACCGAAAAGUUCAUAACGUGCCCAUUUUCCACUCGCCGCAUGCCAAUUGCAAAAAGCCCCCUCAUCUUAACAUGUGAGAUAACCAUUUCAACAAACAAUCACCAAAUCUCUUUAAAUGCUACAGCUGAUGUCUUGGCAAGCUUUUUGGAGACAGAUGUUGCCUAAAUAUACAAAGAAUUUCCUUGGGAGCUUGAAGAUGAAAUUCUGGAGCUUGAACAAAUUGAUAUCGACUUUAACAGUAAAAACAACCAAAUUACCCGAAUUUCUCAUCAUCAAAGCUUCAAUGAACAAGUGUUUAUACAAAGUUAUUUCACAAUUGUCAGUCAAGUCUGGUGAUGUUUGCUCUGCUGCAUGUACUUGUCCUGCUGGCAUUGGUCUUCGUGGUUUUGGCAACUGUAACCAUGUUGGAGGUGUUCUCUUUGCUCUUGAAGACUUCAACACACGUGGUUUACGAGAGUAUUCAUCUGCUGUAUCAUGCACUUCAAAGCUGUCUUCUUAGAAUGUUCCAAAUGCAUCUGCUCUUAAAUCAAACAAUUCCUCUCCAAAAGAUGAAGUGAUAAUACAAAAAUCAAGUUUUGAAAGGACAAUGAUAAAAGUAAUUUGUCUCGCUAUAAAUUCUUUGAUCCACAUCUGAUAAAGCUAUCAAUGAUGAAAGACUUGAAGCCCUUCAAACGAAAUUAGCAGAAGCUUUAACAAACAGUGGUUUUUUGGCUUUCAUGAAAUUUCUGAACCUGCAGAUUCUCACACAUUUGCUUCAACUGAGGCUUCUGCAUCCAAUCUUGAACAUCUUUUCUUCUAUGAAUCCAUCUCCUUCAAUGAAUAUUACGAUAUUUCAACUACCUCCUUCAGAGAAAUGAUUGGCAAUUAUUGCUAUAAUACAACAUUGUCCCAAGAAGAAAUUUCAAUAUUGAGAAAUCAACACAUGAUCAAGCGUCAAAUGAUGAUUGGAAAAAGCAUCGUAUGUAUCGAAUCACUACAUCCAACUUUUACUUUGCUGCUGUAAACUCUGCUGAAUCUUCUUCCAAGCUUAAAUCUAUGUUUAAUAAAUCUUUCACAAUGGCUGCAACUUGCCAUUACCAGAAACACGAAGCACAUGUUGAAGAGCCUUAUAAUGCUACUGAAAGAUAAAGGUAUUGAUGCUCCUCAAGUUUCUAAAGAUGGUCGACAAUUGUCUUCCUCAUCUUGGUGCUUCAUUAGAUGGUGAAGUCACUUACAAAAAUGAAACCUGGAGAUUUGAAAUCAAAUGUCCAUUUUCUGAGUUCAACAUGUCUCUUCAAGAAGCUCUGAAGAAUAAGAAGUUCUCUCUUGUUGAAGUUGGAGCAAGUCCAUCCAUUGACGAGGAGCAGGAAGAAGCAAGAUCAACAAAAGAGCCUGUUAAAUUAAAACCAAAAAGGAAGAGGCAAAGCUGAAGAAGAAUAUAAAUUGAUACAAGGUUUGGCACAAUCCAUUGCUGAAAGAAAAGCAAAGGCACAGAAAACCAGCAAAGAAGCAGCUAACCCCCUUGAUGCAUUUGGACAAUAUGUGACACAAACAUUAUCUGAACUUGACACUAGAGUUCAACAUUUGGCUCAACAUAAAAUGAAUCAAAUCCUUUUCCAGGCACAAACUGGUUUAUUAGCUCAAGAAAGCCCAUAUGAAUCUAUUGUGCCUCUACCACCACAACCACAUUUUUUCCAACGAGAUAAUUCCAGUUAUAGUAUGACAGGCAUAACCAAUCAGGCUGUAAGCACUCAUUCCCAGUUUAACAGUAAGGAGCCAUGUCCAUCAUCUCACUCUUCAUGCCAGACCUUUAGUGCCCCCGAAGACAUCUGGAGGUUUCAAAAUAUUCAAAGUGGUGACAUGCAAGCCGAUAAACUUAAAAACUUUAAACAACUUUGAUUAAAAAUACUGUCCAUUGAAUGAUCAUUGCAAUAAACAUAGAAAUAAUAUGAUUUGCUUGUUUUAUUUACAAUUUGAUUCCCUUCCAAUAAUUGUUAAUGUUGUGUUAUAUAGAUUACACACCUUUAUUCAUCUUUCAGUUUCAUGUACAAUGCUUUACAAGUUUCCUCCACAAUUGAUGAAAUUUCCGUUCUCCCUCCCGAUACUGAAAGAACAGACUCCUGAAUGUCUCACCUAAAUUGAAUUGACAGGCCAUCAGUAAUUUUUUAUAUUAAUUUGUUAAUUUUGUGCAAUAGGACCAAGUUUGCACCGGAAGGCAACUUUAGACAAAAUAUUGGGUACACUGACAGGAGUGGGUGCUAAAAAAUGGCCAAAUUUUUUUCAGGUUUCCAUGGCUAACUACCUUUGAAAACCAAAUGUGAACUUUUUGUGAUCGCUUCUUUUUGAAUUAAGUGCUCCAAUGUCAUGACUUUUAAAGUGGAUUAAGCCAUUCAGCAGUGGGAUAGAUUUUAAGAGUUAUUGGAAGGAGAACUUCCCUCAUAAUGAACACUGUACUUCCAAAUAAACUUGAUAUUUGCUUAAUCGUGUACCCAACCUCCUGUCUAGGGGGGUGGAAUCACUUUAUGAUGGUAAUGAAAAGGGUACCUGGGGUCAUCAACAAGGGUAAACAUAUGUAGUCAUAUGCUUCAGACAGAAGGGGAAAUUCCCCUGGCUACUGAGCUUCAGUUAGCUGAAUUUAAUGCUUAGGACAUAUACAGAGCUUUACAAGAUUAUUGUUUACAAAAGUUGCUUAAAUUUAAAAAAUAAAAGCCAGGCUCUAAUUUCUUCUUGGAUGCAAAAUGUUGCUAGGCUCAAAUGCUUUAGUAAAGGUUGGCAAAUUGCAACUCAAAUAUCAACAACCUGACUGAAGAGAUACCUGUAGCAAGGAACUGCAGAGUUAUUGAUAAGCGCUCAGAUGGCUUUAUUGUACUUCUUUUAUGGGUUUCUUUCUUUGAAAUUAAUGGACUAACUUUAACCAAUAUUACAUUAAAUUCUUCUCUAUUUACACGAUGAUAUUUACGAAACAGUUCGGAAUCUUCACUGUUCAAUUCUCCAAUUAUAUUUGCAUGGGCUUCUCUUAUUUCUCUCCUUAUAACCCAGGGCCUUGACCAUUCCUGCCGAUUUGCCACUCGCAAACGCCUACGAUAUCGUCUCAUAAGCAACAUAAAAACAGAACCUCUUCCCUUUCACAAUUUUCAUCAGUAUAUCCUGCCAUUUUGUUUUAGUUUUUCCCAGGAAACGAAUGCGUUUUGUUGAGUUAUUGCAAGCUUGCUACUUCUGGUUCAGCGCACACAGGAGAAAGUCACUCGUGGCGAAAAUUAUUCAACAUGUUGAAUUUUCAUGAGAUGAGUCACAAGUGACGAAAAAGCUCAUUAAAGUCCACCGCACACUAGUCUUUCCUGCUUAAAUGAUAAAUGAAAUGAUAAAAAACUGUGGUGUCAUCGAAUUAUAUUACACUGACCACAAGGCAGUUUAUGUUCCAAAGUAUUAAGUAAUUAGUUCUAAAAGAUACAAUUAUAAAGAAAUCAACCACCAGUCAACUCGAAAUGAGCAAAUGCUGUUGAAUUACCAGUGAGCAAUUCACCAACAAUGGUAACAAUUUGCCUCUGUCAUUGAAAAAUGUCUACUCUUUCAAGGACAAAAUCACAAAGGCCUUAGAAUAUUUAUAAACAGUGUUCUCGAAAACACUGAAUAUUUAAUAAGCAUUCAACUUGGUCUUGAUGCUUCACUUUUAGCCAAGUUCAGAAAUUCUUACAUCACUGAUUAUACAGUAUAUACCUAGAUACCUAUAGUUGCCUAUUUUUCAUCACAUUGAUUACUCAUAAAUAUUCCUAUGUGACACAUAUACAGUCUCAUUCAUCUUCAUUCUUAUUGAUCUGAAGAUUCAUAUCCAAACCAAAAUUCGAAAAGUUCUAACCAAAAGUAAGUAGGGUAUAAACUGUAAAUUUACAAGAACUUUUUAUCAUCUUAUCAGAUACGGCAAGGUAAUGAAAUAAGAGCCUAGAAAUUAGAUAUUCCUUCAGCAUGGAGAUCGUGAGUUCCCAUAUUUUCAAUCCUUAUCUUAUUAUAGAUAUAGAUAAAUUAUAGAUAACGGUAGCAUUUUUUAAAAGGAAGUCUGAAAAUUUCACUACAAAAUUACAUCAAUUCAAAAUUCUUCAACCAAGGAUAAUUGGUCUAAACAAUUAGUUAUAGAUUGUUUCUCUCAAUUUACAGGUUAUUCAGGAUAUAUAACUAAUGUCUCCGAAGAAAAGGACACAACUCCAGGAGAUCCCUAUUUUACAAUUCAAUUAAAAGUUUCCGCAACAGAACAGAUAGCAUGGAGAGUAAAGAAGAAAUGGAAAAAAGAUGUAAGCCAGGAUAUCUUCAUCCAAAAACAAAACGAAGGUGAACCUGUCACUUUAUGAAAUAUAACUACUGGCAGACAGGGCAUCUCCUUCUUCAAUUCCUUUCAGCGAAGUGACCUCCUUAAAUGUUCUUCCAAACAAAACUUUAAUCGUUCCAAACAGUUACCACUAACUGUCCAAAAAAUGAAAAAACAAACUUCCGGCCUCCAUUCUGUCCAGGGAGAGAUACAGUAGAUUGAGAAAAAAAGGUUAAUUCCCCUGAAUGAACCAUCUCCACCAAAAUAUGCGAGGGAUGCGGUUCUUUUAGACAACUCUGGCCAUGUUCAAAAUUCGUUUUGGAAUGAACAAAUAGAGCAAAUAGAGGAGCUUCAUACUUUAAACAUCAGCCACGUUGCUGUUAAACAGUACCAUGGCAUUAAAUUAUCAACAAGAAGCACAACAAUCAUAACAAAAAUUGACAGCGAAGAAACCUUCAAUUGGGAAUUUGUUGAUAUGGAAACAUACUUGUCAGAUGCCGUAGUUCAAAAGAAGGUCUUUUGCCCAGAGAUAAUAUCUACUAAAAUUUCCCUUAUCAAUACAUGCGUAAACAAAAACUGCACAAGAAAAUUAGCAACUACAAGGACCGAAAAGUUCAUAACGUGCCCAUUUUCCACUCGCCGCAUGCCAAUUGCAAAAAGCCCCCUCACCUUAACAUGUGAGAUAACCAUUUCAACAAACAAUCACCAAAUCUCUUUAAAUGCUACAGCUGAUGUCUUGGCAAGCUUUUUGGAGACAGAUGUUGCCUAAAUAUACAAAGAAUUUCCUUGGGAGCUUGAAGAUGAAAUUCUGGAGCUUGAACAAAUUGAUAUCGACUUUAACAGUAAAAACAACCAAAUUACCCGAAUUUCUCAUCAUCAAAGCUUCAAUGAACAAGUGUUUAUACAAAGUUAUUUCACAAUUGUCAGUCAAGUCUGGUGAUGUUUGCUCUGCUGCAUGUACUUGUCCUGCUGGCAUUGGUCUUCGUGGUUUUGGCAACUGUAACCAUGUUGGAGGUGUUCUCUUUGCUCUUGAAGACUUCAACACACGUGGUUUACGAGAGUAUUCAUCUGCUGUAUCAUGCACUUCAAAGCUGUCUUCUUAGAAUGUUCCAAAUGCAUCUGCUCUUAAAUCAAACAAUUCCUCUCCAAAAGAUGAAGUGAUAAUACAAAAAUCAAGUUUUGAAAGGACAAUGAUAAAAGUAAUUUGUCUCGCUAUAAAUUCUUUGAUCCACAUCUGAUAAAGCUAUCAAUGAUAA